rnacentral:rRNA from 1 species
CAAUAGCGUAUAUUAAGGUUGUUGCAGUUAAAAAGCUCGUAGUUGGAUUUCGGGGUGGCCUGCCUGGUCCACCGCAAGGUGAGUACUGGUCAGCCGCCCUUCCUCUCGAAAGCCCCGACUGCUCUUCAUUGCAGUGGUCGGGUAGUUCGGGACGUUUACUUUGAAAAAAUUAGAGUGUUCAAGGCAGGCUCUCGCCUGAAUACAUUGGCAUGGAAUAAUGGAAGAGGACCUCGGUCCUAUUUUGUUGGUUUCUAGGGCCGAAGUAAUGAUUAAGAGGGACAGUUGGGGGCAUUCGUAUUUAAUUGUCAGAGGUGAAAUUCUUGGAUUUAUGAAAGACGAACUAGUGCGAAAGCAUUUGCCAAGGAUGUUUUCAUUAA